rnacentral:sRNA from 1 species
UCAUUUGUUGCCUAUUGCCAGAAUAUAG